rnacentral:rRNA from 1 species
UACGGAGGAUGCGAGCGUUAUCCGGAUUUAUUGGGUUUAAAGGGUGCGUAGGCGGAUCGUUACGUCAGUGGUCAAAUUGAGGGGCUCAACCCCUUCCCGCCAUUGAAACUGGCGAUCUUGAGUGGAAGAGAAGUAUGCGGAAUGCGUGGUGUAGCGGUGAAAUGCAUAGAUAUCACGCAGAACCCCGAUUGCGAAGGCAGCAUGCCGGCUUCCUACUGACGCUGAAGCACGAAAGCGUGGGGAUCGAACAGG